rnacentral:rRNA from 1 species
AGCAGCCGCGGUAAUUCCAGCUCCAAUAGCGUAUAUUAAAGUUGUUGCAGUUAAAAAGCUCGUAGUUGAAUUUCGAGAUCAAAUUGUUGGUCGUGCCUCGGUACGUACUGGCAUUAUUGAUUUCUCCCUUCUGAAGAACCACGAUGUCAUUAAUUUGGUGUCGUGGGGAAUCAGGACCGUUACUUUGAAAAAAUUAGAGUGUUUAAAGCAGGCUCACGCUUGAAUACAUUAGCAUGGAAUAAUGAAAUAGGACGUUUGAUUCUAUUUUGUUGGUUUCUAGGAUCGACGUAAUGAUUAAUAGGGAUAGUUGGGGGCAUUAGUAUUCAAUCGUCAGAGGUGAAAUUCUUGGAUUUAUUGAAGACUAACUACUGCGAAAGCAUUUGCCAAGGAUGUUUUCAUUAAUCAAGAACGAAAGUUAGGGGAUCGAAGACGAUCAGAUACCGUCGUAGU